rnacentral:rRNA from 1 species
UAAUUUGAGAGUUUGAUCCUGGCUCAGGACGAACGCUGGCGGCGUGCCUAAUACAUGCAAGUCGAACGAACUCU